rnacentral:lncRNA from 1 species
AAAUAAUGGUUGCUAGUUCACAGUCUGGUAUCUGUAUCACUCCGGAAUCGGAAAGGGUUAUUCCGUAUCCGGACUGAUAUUAGCUCUCUCUCUUUUUCUUGUUACUGCGGGUGGCAGACGGAAUUUUAUUAUUGAGAGUAAAAUAUAUAACAACUAAUCUAUUUUGUACGUAUUUGAUUGUGUCCUUUAUAUACAAAGUCCCC